AGCCUAUUUACACGGGAAAGGGGGCGGUGGCAUCCGACGGAGAAGAGGGGAAGAGGCAUCCGACGAUGAGCGGCUCGCGCGAAGAAGCUCCGCUCCGCCUGGUUGGAAGACGAACGGAUCCGGUGAAGAGGACAUCGGUUACCUCACUGCCACAACCUCUUGCUCCUCCUGCAUUCACUCCACCGACUCAAUCUCCAGGUUGAUGUUUUUUCGUUUUUCUUCGAGCUAAUCAAAUCCAAUUGUUAGAUUCUUUUGGAAUUGGAGGCAGCAUCAUCUCUUCGGUUUGAGGAGACGAGGGUGGCAACGAUUCGCAGGCACUGGCUUUGGGAACUCUAUCUUUUGUAGUCGCAUCAUGCGGGUUACUCCGCCGUUACCCGGACUUUUUCUCAGAUAGUGGUCUGACUUGGGUGUUGGAGGUUUGGAAUUGCAGUGUGCGACCAUGAUGGUAACGCUUGAGCUUGGACUUAAAAUCUGGAUGUUCUGCCCUCUAAUUCCGUGAGAGAAAUCAAUUUCUUGAACUUCACAGUUGGUGGAUGAUACUAUAUGUGCUUUGUGAUGAUGUCACAGAAGAUAUGAAGAUCUAAUUGUUCAGAUACUUGUGCUUGCAACUGGUGAAGCAGUUCACCAUUUUGAUUGGGAGCAUUUGCAGGAUGAAACAUCUCUACCAACUUAACAUGGAAAUAGAGGGGGCCUCAAUAGCUGGGUAGGAAGAGAGCAUGAUGUCAGUUGCUAGGGACAGUGGAAGAGAGAAAGCAAGAAAAGCGUGAGGAGAGAAUUAGAGCUGAAACAUUUGAAGGAGAUGAAGUGGCCGAAAGGGGAAGAGAAAAGGAGGGAUCUUUAAUGUUUUCAGUGUUAAUGCCCCCUUUCGAGAGGAUGGUGCAUUCCUCAGAUGGUGGUUCCACUACCAAGUCUAGGUGGCACCAGCACCCAUAUGCCGUGUAGCUCCCUGUCUCUCCCGUUGCACUGCACUGAGAGAUGGAGUUAGUGUUAGAUAGAGGUGAAAAGAGAAAUGGGGACUGAAAUGGAGGGUGAGAAACCUAAAAGAUCUAAGAAAGAUGAAUGUGGAUGUGGACUAGGAUUUCAUACCCGAGUAUCUGUAAAUUUCAUAUUUUUGUUGUCUUGUUGAUGGAACUGAUAGAUCGAGGAUCUUUUUCCGUCUUGGUCAUCUUUUUUCUUUUUGGAAGAAAUGCAAUGCUUGUAUAUUUGUAGCACGCAGAAAAGAUCAUUUAGUGUGGUCAUAAGGAUGUGUACAUAGUAUGCUUGCUUCCUUCGUAUGUUCUUGACAAUUGUAACUUCAUGCAGAAUCUGAAGGGAUUAUUUCCAUGAACAAAGUUAGUAUUCUACAUGAGUUACUUGCCUAGCAUCACAGCAUUGUCGCAGCCCAUGACAUAAUUGCUUUCUUAUGGAAGCAAAAUCUUUGUUUUGGGCCUAUGCUGACUUUAGUAUCAUGCUGGGUUGGAUCGAAUCCUAACCUGCAUGACCUGACCCGAUCACUGGACUAGUCCGGUUUGCCGAUUUUCAAAAUUGGGUCUUGGUUAGGGUGACCUGAAGGCCUAAAUUCAUCCAAAUUCCAGUCUGAGCCUAGUCUAACUCAGUCCCACAAAUUUAGUAAUUUGAUAUAUACCAUACAUAACAUAAAAAAAUCUAUGUAGUCUUGGUCAUUUAUACUCCCAGAAGACUGCACUGGCAGUACGGACUCUCAUACUAAGAAUGAGCAUGGACGUCAGACUGGUCACUAAUUGUGCAUUGUACAAUGCAUUCAGAUUUUGCACAAGCAAAAUUUUCAAACGACAUGGAGCAAGAUUUUAGGGGGGGAGCAUUGAUGCUAUGGUGAGGUUGUAUCUUUGUGACUUGGGUGACUUAAGGUAUGAGUCAUAGUAUCGUCCUCUCAAUUUGCAGAGUUUCGGUUAAAUACAUUGACCCUACCCAUCUCUGCGUUGCUAGGAACCCCAUGUGGUGGAGUAUUCCUUUUUCAGUUGAGUGAGAUUCUAUCAUAGUAGCUGUUUGUGAAGUAAUUUUAUCCCCAGAGGUGAAGAUAUGAUAGCCUGCAUUUGAGUGUCUGGUUGCUAUCGUCUGCUCAGUAAUUACUAUGACAAACUUGCAUCAUACAAGUAGGACAUAAUCAACAAUGAAGCAAGAGCUGUGAGGGGAGAUGAGGAGCCUACUGCUCUUCAGGCCAUAGAGCUCAUACCUGUGUUAAUGAGUUUGGCCUCUUAAAUGAAUAUUUCUGAUAUUUCUUGCUAUACUCUGUUGGGCAAGCAGUACCAGCUUUAGUUCCAAUGUUAUUGGAGGUACUUCUCAUGCAAGAUGAGGAGAUUGGUGAACUUGGUAAGCUUUCUAAAUCAGAAAAUAUGCAUUAGAUACAAUUGAUUGAUGCUCAGGUUUAUGCAUGCAAAAGAUGCAGGUCACCAUCUUAUGAGAUCUUCAUUCACAAGCUGUGCUAUGAUACACUCAUGCAAACACAGAUCAAGGUACAAAACACUUAUUUCUUGAAUAUUAGGCAUGGUGUUCACACAACACUAUCUUCAUUUUUUCUGCAAUUCAUAAAUAUAGUUGGAAAGUGAUAUUAGGAUAAAAUGCAGGCAAGCUCGGCCAGACGAAUGUAUGAAAUGUUUGUUGUCAGCUUUUACUGUGCAUAAUGUCUUUUACAUUUUGAUGAGUGAUAACAGUGGGAUGAUUGACAUGCUACCUGUUCUUUCAAAUUUGCUCUGACGCAUGAAGGAAAAUUGCAUUCACAUUCUGAAAGACCUCACUGAGUCACUGACUUUAAACACCAUAAAAAGAUUUAUGUGGUUUUUUAUCAUAAAAAACUAGUGACUUAACUCUGUGAAUAUGAUCUGCCAACACUAAUAAAUUCUGCAUCCAUAGCUCAAAGGCUCUAUGAUGCUGUGCAAAAUUAGGUAAAAGAAGUCAAAGUGGCACAACAACAUUCAUUAUCGUACUAUUCAUUUCUUGAUAUGGUGGAGAUUAAUGGUAUGAAAUAUGAACCAUGCAUGACAGAGCAAUAAACACAAAGGAUAUGGACAAUAAGCAGGUCAACUUCAUGAAUGCGGUAUCCUUGAUAUGAUGGCGACCACCCAUGUCAUGGACCUGAUUGUCUGAAGAUUACAUUGGUGACAGGUAUGUGAGGUCCUGAUCUUUUCCAUUUACGGUAAUUAAUCAUGCACAAAGUAUGACAAUUUACAGAUUAAAGAGCAAAGAUGCAGAAUAUAGUAGAUUAAAGCAAAGAAGACGAUCAUCCUGUUAUUUUUAUUUGACUGAUAUUUGGGUUCUUACAUCUAGUGCUUUCAUCAACUUUUUGCAGCCACACGUGCUUGUUUUAAUCAAUCAUGUUUGAUGACUUUGGUCCACUUUGUGUGGCUUAGUUUCAAUUAGAUCUGGCAAUCUUUUUUUGCAUUUUACACAGUUUCAUAAGAAAAAGCAUAUUGCAUUCUUGUGCAUGUAUGAAUCGAUGUGCACUCGACUUGAUAGUGAUGGAAGAUCCCAUACCUAACUAUCAGGAUGCUUCAUAUAUAUUCCAUAAACUGUGGAAAAUCUGACUCACUGUAGUCGUACGAGAUGUCCUGUAACUAGAAUUUUUCUGAUGGUUCACAUAACUUUGCAAACACCAUUGUCUCAUAAACAUAGUGUUCAUCAGGUAUCCUACUUGAAAGAAUAAUUUGAACUAUUGAGCAGUGAGGUUAUUUGCAAGUUAUAUUAUACCUCCUUGCCAUCCAACAUGAAGUGUGUUUUCACUGUUUAUCUACUUUGUUAACACUGAUUAUCUGCUUCUUUUUCACAUGAAAUCAGAAAGGUGGAAGGAACCAGUCUUUUGGAUCAGAUGCAUCCCUUGUAAUAUGAUCUUUGCUGUUUUCUUGAAAUGUUCUGAUAAAGUUCUUACCAAUGCGGCAGCCUUGACUCCGCAAACCAUGCACAAUAGCUUAUAGCUAAAAGUAUUAAUUUUAGUGGGCUAAUAGCAAUUUCAAUUAGGUCACACAAGAGACAUCGUCGUCUUUCUUUACCACCACAUGCAAUAUCUUUCUGGUGGAGAACAGGCAAGCAGGAAUUCUGACGUAGCCGAAGUUAGUGCAGUUGACUUGUAGCUAAUGGAUUUCAUCAUCAUUGUCCAGAGCAAUCAUGGGUGGUGGACCAUGCCAAAAGCUGCAAAGGCAUGCAUCUCCAUCUGCUGCUGCCCAAGCAUAAAAGAAGCCUUGGUCCCGACCCUCUUGAAACCUUCCAGAGUGCCUACUGAGAACAGCAACAAUAACCUCAACCAUGCCAGUUAGAUUCAAAGCCUUCUUUAUCAUCCUUUUGCUAAUUUUUCUAUUUGAGUCAUCUUUAGGCCUUGUUGGGAGUUCAGAAGAUGGAACUUAUCCUGCCUUGCAGGUGACCAAGGUGCAUACGAGAAAGGCGUUGAUAGAGUUCACCCUGGAUUAUGACUACGGAGGACCCAACCCUAGGCAUGAUCCCAGGAAAGGAAAGCCAGGCAGGGGUCUGUAGCUUGGAUUCUCCUCUAUGAGAGAGAUUACUGCAUAAGAAGAGCCAACCAGCUAUACUCUCUUCCUACGGUACUUAAAAAUCUUUAUAUCUAUUGCAGCUAUACACCGAGCAACAGAGGUUAGGAUCCAGAUAUGGUUUUUGUUUUGAUAGUGUGGCAAAGAAGGGAUGUAAUAAAAUAGUUAGUUUGCCAUUGAGUUGCUGUAGUGCUAUGAAAUAACAUUACAGUUUGAGCAUAUAAUGAAUGGAAGGGAGAAGGUUUGUUGU